GUCUACGGCCAUGCCACCCUGAACAAGCCCAAUCCCGUCUGAUCUCGGAAGCUAAGCAGGGUCGGACCUGGUUAGUUACUUGGAUGGGAGACCACCUAGGAAGACCAGGUGCUGUAGGCG
rnacentral:rRNA from 1 species